GUGAGCUAGGGAUGCAUGUCUGUGAGGACUUGUGUGUGGAGGGACACUAAUUGUUUUUAUUGUGUGAGAGAAGGCUGCAAGUGAUAUUGCAAAUUUGUAGGAAUGCUGCUUGUGGUGUUGCAUGUUUGUAUGGAUGCUGCAUUUGUUUUGGGAAACACUGCUUGUGGAAUUGAAAUGUAGGGGAGGCUGCUUGUGGGGUGUAGUGUUUGUAAUGUAGGGUACAUGGAGAAGACUGUGUUUGGAAGAACUGUGUUUGGAGUUGUAGUGUUUGUGAGUGUGUGACAGGAUAGGGUCUGACUCCCAAUAGCCUCAGCCACCCGACAGGACACCAGGUAAGCCCCCCUCUUGCACCCAAAAGGUAGGAAACUGG